rnacentral:rRNA from 1 species
UACGUGAGGGUGCGAGCGUUGUCCGGAUUUAUUGGGCGUAAAGAGCUCGUAGGCGGUUUGUCGCGUCGGCCGUGAAAAUCUCCACGCUUAACGUGGAGCGUGCGGUCGAUACGGGCAGACUUGAGUUCGGUAGGGGAGACUGGAAUUCCUGGAUGUAGCGGUGAAAUGCGCAGAUAUCAGGAGGAACACCGGUGGCGAAGGCGGGUCUCUGGGCCGAUACUGACGCUGGAGGAGCGAAAGCGUGGGGAGCGAACAGG